CUCUGCCGGAGGGAGAGUGGCCUCGGGUGAGGUUCGUGUGUAUUGUAUCGGGGUGUUUCGUGGAAGGCGCGUGCGGGCCGAGUGUGUGAGUGGACGUGUGAAUGUGUGAAUGCGCGCAUGGUGCGUGCAAGGCGAAUGCGUGCGCCACCCCCGCGCCCCUCCCCCGGCCUACACCUUGAUCUUAUUUGAUCGCGUCGUGACUCCAGCCCCGCCGGGCCGACCCGAAAUGAAAAGCUCCCCUCCUGCGAAGCCCUUUCCUUGGGGCGCUGUGCAGCGAGGCCCCUUGGGCGGUGGCAACGCCGCGGUCCCCGAGGUCCCGGAGCCGGUCCAACGGGGCCCGGCGCUCAGAAGUGAUGAAUUGAUCAGAUAGACGAGGCCGGGCUUGUCCCGGGCCACUGAUUAUCGAGGCGAUUCUGAUCUGA
rnacentral:snoRNA from 1 species